CUGUUUAUGCAUUUCUUUUCCACAACACCCUCCUUUGGACAUAUUUUGCUUUCUUUUCUAUGGUAGUGUGUGUGCUAACAUCAGUGGCAUGUCACUGUGUACAAUCAUUAUUGGGCCAUCUAGUCCACAGAAUAAUGCAUCUAGAUACAGUGGGUCCAGAAAGUAUUCAGACCCUUUUUAAGUUUUCACUCUUUGUUAUAUUGCAGCCAUUUGCUAAAAUUAUUUAAGUUCAUUUUAUCCUUAUUAAUGUACACACAGCACCCCAUAUUGGCAGGAAAACACAGAAUUCUUGACAUUUUUGCAGUUUAAAAAAAAAACGAAAACUGAAAUAUCACAUGGUCCUAAGUAUUCAGACCCUUUGCUCUGUAUUUAGUAGAAGCACCCUUUUCAUCUAAUACAGCCAAGUCUAUAUUAGGUCAAGCCAGUCUUUUUGGGAAAGAUGCAACAAGUUUUUCACACCUGGAUUUGGGGAUCCUCUGCCAUUCCUCCUUGCAGAUCCUCUUCAUUUUUUUUAUUUUUUUAUUUUUUGCCUGUCCCAUUUGGUCCUUUAGCCGUCAGAAUACCCAAUGGAUUUACUUUACCAAGUGGAUCAUCACGGCCUUGCCGUAUUGGUCCAUUUGAUCGACCUUUGUUGUUAUUAUUUAUUUUAUUUUAUUUUCAGUUGUUACAGACGGGGCAGACAUGACUAGGGGAUAGGAAAGGGAGAAAGAAAGCUGAAGGAAAAGAAAAACAGAGGGGAAGAGGGACAGUGAGAAAGGGCCAUUGUUAAUCUUUAACACUGACUAGGUUACUGGUAGAAAUAUAACACUGUCAAAAGUGUUAAUUUAACACUCAAAGGAGUGGACACAUGUAGACACUUUCUAGUGUCAAUUUAACACUGGAGAUUUUGCAGUGCAGGGACAAAAAUAACAAAAACAAAAUUCCUUCUUCAGUAUUGUUUCUAUUUAUGCAUACUUGGUCUCUGUGUGUUUGUGGCUGUGUGAAUGCAAAUGCAUUACCUUUAUGCAAAUUAUUUUUUUGCAAC
ensembl:lncRNA